AUUGAACGCUGGCGGCAUGCCUUACACAUGCAAGUCGAACGGUAACGGGUCCUUCGGGAUGCCGACGAGUGGCGAACGGGUGAGUAAUAUAUCGGAACGUGCCCAGUAGUGGGGGAUAACUGCUCGAAAGAGCAGCUAAUACCGCAUACGACCUGAGGGUGAAAGGGGGGGAUCGCAAGACCUCUCGCUAUUGGAGCGGCCGAUAUCAGAUUAGCUAGUUGGUGGGGUAAAGGCCUACCAAGGCAACGAUCUGUAGUUGGUCUGAGAGGACGACCAGCCACACUGGGACUGAGACACAGCCCAGACUCCUACGGGAGGCAGCAGUGGGGAAUUUUGGACAAUGGGCGCAAGCCUGAUCCAGCAAAGCCGCGUGCAGGAAGAAGGCCUUCGGGUUGUAAACUGCUUUUGUCAGGGAAGAAAUCUUCUGGGCUAAUACCCCGGGAGGAUGACGGUACCUGAAGAAUAAGCACCGGCUAACUACGUGCCAGCAGCCGCGGUAAUACGUAGGGUGCGAGCGUUAAUCGGAAUUACUGGGCGUAAAGCGUGCGCAGGCGGCUUUGCAAGACAGAUGUGAAAUCCCCGGGCUCAACCUGGGAACUGCAUUUGUGACUGCAAGGCUAGAGUACGGCAGAGGGGGAUGGAAUUCCGCGUGUAGCAGUGAAAUGCGUAGAUAUGCGGAGGAACACCAAUGGCGAAGGCAAUCCCCUGGGCCUGUACUGACGCUCAUGCACGAAAGCGUGGGGAGCAGACAGGAUUAGAUACCCUGGUAGUCCACGCCCUAAACGAUGUCAACUGGUUGUUGGACGGCUUGCUGUUCAGUAACGAAGCUAACGCGUGAAGUUGACCGCCUGGGGAGUACGGCCGCAAGGUUGAAACUCAAAGGAAUUGACGGGGACCCGCACAAGCGGUGGAUGAUGUGGUUUAAUUCGAUGCAACGCGAAAAACCUUACCUACCCUUGACAUGUCAAGAAUUCUGCAGAGAUGUGGAAGUGCUCGAAAGAGAACUUGAACACAGGUGCUGCACGGCCGUCGUCAGCUCGUGUCGUGAGAUGUUGGGUUAAGUCCCGCAACGAGCGCAACCCUUGUCAUUAGUUGCUACGCAAGAGCACUCUAAUGAGACUGCCGGUGACAAACCGGAGGAAGGUGGGGAUGACGUCAGGUCCUCAUGGCCCUUAUGGGUAGGGCUACACACGUCAUACAAUGGCCGGUACAGAGGGCUGCCAACCCGCGAGGGGGAGCCAAUCCCAGAAAACCGGUCGUAGUCCGGAUCGUAGUCUGCAACUCGACUGCGUGAAGUCGGAAUCGCUAGUAAUCGCGGAUCAGCUUGCCGCGGUGAAUACGUUCCCGGGUCU
rnacentral:rRNA from 1 species